rnacentral:rRNA from 1 species
CAACUUUCAACAACGGAUCUCUUGGUUCUGGCAUCGAUGAAGAACGCAGCGAAAUGCGAAAAGUAGUGUGAAUUGCAGAAUUCAGUGAAUCAUCGAAUCUUUGAACGCACAUUGCGCCCCUUGGUAUUCCAUGGGG